AUGUCCUGGACCCCUGUCCUGCUGGCGCUCCUGGCCCACUGCACAGGCUCCACGGCCUCCUAUGAACUGACCCAGCAGCCCUCAGUGUCAAUAGCCCCCGGAACAAGGUCAGGAUCACCUGCUCAGGAGGUAACGUCAUGCAUAAACUUGCAUCUUGGUACCAGCAGAAGCCGGGCCAGGCCCCUGUGUUGUUCGUCUAUGACAAUAGCAACCGGCCCUCAGGGAUCCCUGACCAAUUCUCUGGCUCCAUUCAGGGAACACAGCCAUCCUGAUCAUCAGCGGGGACUGGGCCGAGGCCGAGGCUAUUACAGUGCCAUCUACCAUGGCAUCUCAGUCACCAUGGUACGUCUUUGGCGGCGGGACCCAGCUCACCGUCCUAGGUCAGCCCAAGUCUGCACCCUCGGUCACUCUGUUCGCGCCCUCCACUGAGGAGCUCAAGGCCAACAAGGCCACCCUGGUGUGUCUCAUCAACGACUUCUACCCGGGCAGCGUGACGGUGGCCUGGAAGGCAGGCAGCACCACCAUCACCAGGGGCGUGGAGACCGCCCAGCCCUUGAAACAGAGCAACAACAAGUACGCGGCCAGCAGCUACCUGGCCCUGACGGCCAGCGAGUGGAGAUCUUAUGACAGGGUCAGCUGCCAGGUCACGCAUGAGGGGAGCACCCUGGAGAAGACAGUGGCAUCCUCAGGGUGCCCUUAGGUCCCUGGUCCCCCCACCCUCCGGGGCCUGGAG